CAGGUGGUGCAUGGUUGUCGUCAGCUCGUGUCGUGAGAUGUUGGGUUAAGUCCCGCAACGAGCGCAACCCUCGCCUUUAGUUGCCAUCAUUUAGUUGGGCACUCUAGAGGAACUGCCGGUGAUAAGCCGGAGGAAGGUGGGGAUGACGUCAAGUCCUCAUGGCCCUUAUGGGCUGGGCUACACACGUGCUACAAUGGCGUAUACAGAGGGUAGCGAGCGGGUGACCGUAAGCCAAUCUCGGAAAGUACGUCUCAGUUCGGAUCGGAGUCUGCAACUCGACUCCGUGAAGUCGGAAUCGCUAGUAAUCGUGAAUCAGAAUGUCACGGUGAAUACGUUCCCGGGCCUUGUACACACCGCCCGUCACAUCAUGGGAAUUGGUUCUACCCGAAGACGCUGUGCUAACUUCGGAGGCAGGCGGCCACGGUAGGAUCAGUGACUGGGAUGAAGUCGUAACAAGGUAGCCGUAGGGGAACCUGCGGCUGGAUCAC
rnacentral:rRNA from 11 species